AGGACUACGGAAGAUGAUAUAAUUGUAUAUCAAUCUAUGUUAUAAUUGUUUGGUUGUCAAUGGAUCUAACUAAUUUUAGAAGCAUUGAUUUAGUUGGAUGAUGAACUGACGCUAACCAAAUCAGAAUUACUUGCUAGCAAAAGAUCAGUAUAAAGAGAUCUCCGGUAUGAUUAUCCAAGCAUCAUAGCUUUGUGUUUUGGUUUUGGAUUUUGGAGGCAAAAGGGGUUGUGCGUGUGUAUUGAAGAUUGAUAUCAUCUGUAAACCUAAAAGAUUAAGAUGAUACUAUCUGAAGAGUUGUUGCUGGUGCACUUGUCAACAAAGUUAAGGAACAGGUAAAGAAGACAAAGAAUGUUCUUACUAAACAUAGACUGAUAGACACGGUCAUGGUCACGAGCAUGAUCUGGAGAACAACACAUCCCCGACGACCACGAUCCAGACGAGGAAGAUGCUGAAGAUUACGACGUUGGCCAAAUUGACCAGCAAGCCACGGUGGUGCAACAGCUCAUCACAUUCAGAAUCCGAUGAAGGAGAUUAGGCGGAGAUAGUUCCUCCAGUCUCAAAGGCUUUUCCUGUCAUGGCAACUUCCCACUCUAAAGUUUCUGAGCCAUUAAAGCAGUGGAACCAGUACGAGGCCGCAAUACCUCUCACGGACACGAAGCUCUGCCUCAUCCUGCAAGACCCUUAGGUGUGUCUUUACUCUCUCUGACAGAAGAUGUCACUAGAACGUUUGUUCCUGGUGAACAACUUAGAGUCAACAUCAAGAGAGACAGAGGAAUGUAGAAAGGGACGUUUGCUCAGGUCUUUAUGGGAUGUCAAAUUAUCAGUCCAAACUCACUUUUCGCAUCAGAAAGACUGGUGCAGAAGUUGCAGCAGCACAGCUCUUGCGAAGAGGAAAGGAACAUGUGAUGAUGUUCAACUAGGCUCCUGGAAGAGAGAGAAGGAAAACAAUAACAGAGGAACGAAAUUUCUUCAUGAUCAAUUGUGGGUUUCAAACAAGAAGUCAGUGCCAAUACAACAAUGAUUAAAAGAUUGGGUUGCUUCUUUUGGUUUAGUCUUUGAAGAUAAAUCCGAAUUUCAGAAAACAUUUGUAUGCAGUUUUGUUGAUUUUUAAGUUAUUUUGGUUAAAUUAUGGUUUGGUUAUUCGAAGUAAUUUAUUUGAUA